rnacentral:rRNA from 1 species
CGUGCCUAACACAUGCAAGUCGAACGAAGCACUUUAAAUAGAUUUCUUCGGAAUGAAGUUUUUUGUGACUUAGUGGCGGACGGGUGAGUAACGCGUGGGUAACCUGCCCAGUACUGGGGGACAACAGUUGGAAACGACUGCUAAUACCGCAUAAGCCUACGGUGUCGCAUGAUACAGUAGGAAAAAUUCCGGUGGUACUGGAUGGGCCCGAGUCUGAUUAGCUAGUUGGUAAGGUAAUGGCUUACCAAGGCGACGAUCAGUAGCCGGCUUGAGAGAGUGAACGGCCACAUGGGGACUGAGACACGGCCCAAACUCCUACGGGAGGCAGCAGUGGGGAAUAUUGCACAAUGGGGGAAACCCUGAUGCAGCAACGCCGCGUGAGUGAAGAAGUAUUUCGGUAUGUAAAGCUCUAUCAGCAGGGAAGAUAAUGACGGUACCUGACUAAGAAGCACCGGCUAAAUACGUGCCAGCAGCCGCCGUAA